UUUGUGAACGAGAGGAAGAAAAAAGGCAAGUCCGUGAAGUCAUUUUGCUAACACUCCAGCCAUCACAUAGGCUGCUGGGGCUUGAAGAAAAAUCAAGAAAAUUAGUGCUUGCGAAAGGGAAAGAGCGACAGCGGUGGACUGGGACGGGCACAGCGGGGCCCACGCAGCCCUCCUCCUGCCCGGCUCAGCCCCUCCCUGAAGCCGGCUCUCUGCUCUCCCCAGAUCGCUCUGUGUUCCUUCCUCUCCGGGGGCCUUACUACCUCCCGCCCGGGCCCUGCCGGGCAGCCCCCAGGGGGCAUCUGCGCCGCCUGCCCCUUCCCAGUGCCAGCAGCCCUUCCCGCCCUCCCCCUGUGAGUCUGUGCUCGCCGGCGCGCCUCUCCGCAGCCUGGACAGACAGUGCCCCCCGCAGGCCACAAUCGGCCCUGGGCUGUGGCGACCUGCGUGACAAAGAUGAAUACCCAUGGGGGCUUAGGAGGAGAACACCGGCGAACCUCCACUGGUGACCCCAAUUUCUGACUCGAACCCAGGUCCCCAGAGGUGAGGUGAAGAAAAUGCCUAAAUUAAAAUGCUAAUUACCGUCUUCAGCAAUUCGGUACCAGACAGUCACUUGUAUCUAUUAUUAACAGCUUCCCGCCACAGCCGCCGCUCGCCAAGAGACACGGAUGAUUUAAAGAUUCAGGUGCAAGAGAAAAUAACAGAAAACCGUGUUUGCACGGUGAAGCGCAGCCUGUGGGGGUGUCACCCUAUUCUGCCCACCCUGCGGAGAGAUGAUAAGAAGCCAAGGACAACAAAAGGUGCUGUCCCAGAAGGCCCCUGGGGGCUCCCCAGUAUCUGGAACCAAACCCUCAAUAUCUCCAAAGGUGUGGCUCCCCAUGCUUUUCUUCUGCCUUGGAAUUCAUGUCAGCUUCCUGAGGCCUGGCUUUGUCAUGCUUCCAAUUCUAUCUAUGUGCUGGCGAUCUCUGGAGGUCUCCGGAACUCCUGAAAAUUUAGUCUAUUCAAAGAUAGCCAGGGGCGCCUGGGUGGCGCAGUCGGUUAAGCGUCCGACUUCAGCCAGGUCACGAUCUCGCGGUCCGUGAGUUCGAGCCCCGCAUCAGGCUCUGGGCUGACGGCUCAGAGCCUGGAGCCUGUUUCUGAUUCUGUGUCUCCCUCUCUCUCUGCCCCUCCCCCGUUCAUGCUUUGUCUCUCUCUGUCCCAAAAAU
rnacentral:lncRNA from 1 species